rnacentral:rRNA from 1 species
CCUACGGGUGGCAGCAGUGAGGAAUAUUGGUCAAUGGACGAGAGUCUGAACCAGCCAAGUAGCGUGAAGGAUGACUGCUCUAUGGGUUGUAAACUUCUUUUAUAUGGGAAUAAAAUGUUCCACGUGUGGGAUUUUGUAUGUACCAUAUGAAUAAGGAUCGGCUAACUCCGUGCCAGCAGCCGCGGUAAUACGGAGGAUCCGAGCGUUAUCCGGAUUUAUUGGGUUUAAAGGGAGCGUAGGUGGAUUGUUAAGUCAGUUGUGAAAGUUUGCGGCUCAACCGUAAAAUUGCAGUUGAAACUGGCAGUCUUGAGUACAGUAGAGGUGGGCGGAAUGCGUGGUGUAGCGGUGAAAUGCUUAGAUAUCACGAAGAACUCCGAUUGCGAAGGCAGUUCACUGGACUACAACUGACACUGAGGCUCGAAAGUGUGGGUAUCAAACAGGAUUAGAUACCCCUGUAGUC